AAGUCGUAACAAGGUCUCCGUAGGUGAACCUGCGGAGGGAUCAUUAACACGUAUCCAAACGUUAUCAAACCCAAACCGUGCUCUUUAUAUUCCCAUAGUGAUAGGUGACUAGUAGGCCUCAGAUGGAUUCCUCGGAACCCGAGGUCUGCCUACAGUCUAUCGAUCCUUGAGAUCAGCUGAAUCACUAUGGUGUAUCAAAGCCAUCUGGUUACAUGUGCCAAACCGGUUUCGACCCGGAGCCAUGUAGCCUUAGUAAACCCCCAUUAUUUUUACCCCUUUCAAUAUAACUAACUUACUGAUUUUACUUCUCUGAACCGAAAGGUGCAGAAAGUGUAUACGAAACGCGAACAACUCUUAGCAAUGGAUAUCUUGGUUCUC
rnacentral:misc_RNA from 1 species